rnacentral:rRNA from 1 species
UACCAGCUCUCCGAGUGGUGUGGAUGUUUAUUGGGCCUAAAGCAUCCGUAGCUGGCUGGGCAAGUCCCCUGUUAAAUCCACCGAUUUAAUCGUUGGAGUGCGGGGGAUACUGUUCGGCUAGGGGACGGGAGAGGCAGACGGUAUUUUCGGGGUAGGGGUGAAAUCCUAUAAUCCCGGGAAGACCACCAGUGGCGAAGGCUGUCUGCUAGAACGCGCCCGACGGUGAGGGAUGAAAGCUGGGGGAGCGAACCGGAUUAGAUACCCGGGUAGUCCCAGCUGUAAACGAUGCAGGCUAGGUGUUUGGGCGGCCACGUGCCGCUCUAGUGCCGCAGGGAAGCCGUUAAGCCUGCCGCCUGGGGAGUACGGCCGCAAGGCUGAAACUUAAAGGAAUUGGCGGGGGAGCACCACAAGGGGUGAAGCUUGCGGUUU